UACGUAGGGUGCGAGCGUUAAUCGGAAUUACUGGGCGUAAAGCGUGCGCAGGCGGUUUUGUAAGCCAGAUGUGAAAUCCCCGGGCUUAACCUGGGAAUGGCAUUUGGGACUGCAAGGCUGGAGUGCGGCAGAGGAGACUGGAAUUCCUGGUGUAGCAGUGAAAUGCGUAGAUAUGUGGAGGAAUACCGAUGGCGAAGGCAGCCUCCUGGGCCAACACUGACGCUCAUGCACGAAAGCGUGGGGAGCGAACAGG
rnacentral:rRNA from 1 species